AGGAGGUCCCGCCUGCCCUGUGACCAAAAGUUUAACGGCCGCGGUAUCGUAACCGUGCGAAGGUAGCGCAAUCAAUUGUCUCUUAAAUGGGGACCUGUAUGAAUGGCAUGACGAGGGUUUAACUGUCUCUUUUCUCUGGUCAAUGAAACUGAUCUGCCCGUGCAGAAGCGGGCAUGUAGACACAAGACGAGAAGACCCUAUGGAGCUUUAGACGCCCACCAACCGCAAGAAGCACUCCAACGUAAAGGAGCUAUCAAACAGCGCGGCUCUGACACAAGCGUCUUAGGUUGGGGUGACCACGGGGGAAAACAAAGCCCCUGAGAGGAUUGGGAACAGUCCUAAAACCGAGAGCUACAGCUCUAAGUCGCAAAAUAUUUGACCGACAAUGAUCCGGCUCCUCGCCGAUCAACGGACCAAGUUACCCUAGGGAUAACAGCGCAAUCCUCUCCCAGAGCCCAUAUCGACGAGGGGGUUUACGACCUCGAUGUUGGAUCAGGACAUCCUAAUGGUGCAACCGCUAUUGAGGGUUCGUUUGUUCAACGAUUAAAGUCCUACGUGAUCUG
rnacentral:rRNA from 1 species